AGUGAACGCUGGCGGUAGGCCUAACACAUGCAAGUCGAGCGGCAGCACAGUAAGAGCUUGCUCUUACGGGUGGCGAGUGGCGGACGGGUGAGGAAUACAUCGGAAUCUACUUUUUCGUGGGGGAUAACGUAGGGAAACUUACGCUAAUACCGCAUACGACCUACGGGUGAAAGCAGGGGAUCUUCGGACCUUGCGCGAUUGAAUGAGCCGAUGUCGGAUUAGCUAGUUGGCGGGGUAAAGGCCCACCAAGGCGACGAUCCGUAGCUGGUCUGAGAGGAUGAUCAGCCACACUGGAACUGAGACACGGUCCAGACUCCUACGGGAGGCAGCAGUGGGGAAUAUUGGACAAUGGGCGCAAGCCUGAUCCAGCCAUACCGCGUGGGUGAAGAAGGCCUUCGGGUUGUAAGGCCCUUUUGUUGGGAAAGAAAAGCAGCAGGUUAAUACCCCGCUGUUCUGACGGUACCCAAAGAAUAAGCACCGGCUAACUUCGUG
rnacentral:rRNA from 1 species